rnacentral:rRNA from 1 species
AUUGAACGCUGGCGGCAUGCUUUACACAUGCAAGUCGAACGGCAGCGCGGGCUUCGGCCUGGCGGCGAGUGGCGAACGGGUGAGUAAUACAUCGGAACGUGCCCAGUAGUGGGGGAUAGCUCGGCGAAAGCCGGAUUAAUACCGCAUACGACCUGAGGGUGAAAGCGGGGGAUCUUCGGACCUCGCGCUUUUUGAGCUGCCGAUGGCAGAUUAGCUAGUUGGUGGGGUAAAGGCCUACCAAGGCGACGAUCUGUAGCUGGUCUGAGAGGACGACCAGCCACACUGGGACUGAGACACGGCCCAGACUCCUACGGGAGGCAGCAGUGGGGAAUUUUGGACAAUGGGCGAAAGCCUGAUCCAGCAAUGCCGCGUGUGUGAUGAAGGCCUUCGGGUUGUAAAGCACUUUUGGCGGGAACGAAAAGGACUGUGCCAAUACCACGGUUCGAUGACGGUACCCGCAGAAUAAGCACCGGCUAACUACGUG